rnacentral:siRNA from 1 species
GCAAAAUCACGUUUUCCCGCCAA